CUCACUCCUCACAAAGUGCUGGGAUAUUGUAUAUUGUAUUCAGAUACCUCACUACUUUUCUGACCUACUUGAGCCUUUGUUGCAGGAUAUCUAACAUUUGCAACAAUGAUGAUUACAUUUCUGAUGCCUUUGAAGAGGAUGAGAAUGCGCUGACAUAGUGAGGAGACGUCUGGGUGUCACAUUCUGCAGAGAGAAGUUUUAGCUGGAACAAGUCCUGGCGGAGUGGAUGAAAACUAUCUUCUAGGAAGUGUCCUAUAUACUGCAUACACAGAAGUGGAAAUCCUGACCAUCUUUGUCAUUGUAGCACACCCCUAGAAGGAGCAGAAGCAAGGAGGACAUUAUAGAGCAGUACAGAGCAACAUAAGCUGUGAAUCAAGCACUGAGUGAGAUAUAAAACUAGCUACAAAAUACAGCCAAUUCUCUCGGUAUCUCUUUUUAUGUUUGUCUCUCUCCGACCACUCCUUCUGGGCAGCUAAAACCUGAUACUUUAGUGAACUGUGUGAGCUGAUUGUACUUUAGACAGACAUGA